GGGAGUUUGGUCUAGUGGUAUGAUUCUCGCUUUGGGUGCGAGAGGCCGCGGAUUCAAAUCCCGCAACUCCCC
rnacentral:tRNA from 1 species